UAUAAGGAAAUACGAAUACAGAGAAAAGUAGUAUAAAUGACUAAUUCUUAUUUCGGGACUGAGGCUUUUUUGCUAGGAACUUUUGAUGAGAAACUGGUCAGCCAUUCUGAGAGUGGUGGAAAGCCUGUCAAGGUCACUGCCAAGGACAAGAGAGUCAAUUAGUAUGCAGAUCAGAGCCAAGGAGUUCAAAGGUUGGUCUGGGGAUCAUCAGGAUUGGACCUUAGCACCAACAACCUCCAGCAGACUGCAAUGGCUCUGCCUUUAAUACUCUUCCACCCCUGUGUGUUAUACAUCCAUAAUACUGAACACACAAGGCAGACAGGUGCCCUGAGGCAUUCUCCGUAAAAACUUUCAUAUCACAACGGAACUGAACGUACCAUUAUAACACCACGUCUCCUUUUCUUCAUGCUAAGGAUGCGCAGCAUGAAUACAUAUCCCUGCUAGUGGCAUCAAACACUGUUGCAUCAGUAUAAAAUCUUUCUCCUCACAAACAAAACAAACAGUCUUCCUAUUGUUCUGGUUUGUGGGAUGACUGUGGAUCUGCUCCCCAAGAUGUUUAUGACCUUCAAAAUUCCCAGUCACCUGACAACCUUACUGUGGAAGAAUUAUUGCUGUUGGAGGAGUUUGUGCCCUUUCAAGCUACUGGC